AAUGAAGUAUUUUAUAAAGAAUUUUGAGUUUGCGUCUCAAAGGAGGAGUUUUCCCUUCGUUA
rnacentral:tRNA from 1 species